rnacentral:rRNA from 1 species
UACGUAGGGGGCAAGCGUUGUCCGGAUUUAUUGGGCGUAAAGAGCGUGUAGGCGGCCAGGUAGGUCCGUUGUGAAAACUCGAGGCUCAACCUCGAGACGUCGGCGGAAACCCUCUGGCUAGAGUCCGGAAGAGGAGAGUGGAAUUCCUGGUGUAGCGGUGGAAUGCGCAGAUAUCAGGAGGAACACCUAUAGCGAAGGCAGCUGCUGGGACGUACUGAGCUAAGGCGCGAAAGCGUGGGGAGCGAACAGG